UCCGUAGGUGAACCUGCGGAAGGAUCAUUAGUGAUUGCCAUCUUGGCUUAAACUAUAUCCAUCUACACCUGUGAACCGUUUGAUUGAAUCUUCUGAUUCAAUUUUACAAACAUUGUGUAAUGAACGUCAUUAGAUCAUAACAAAAAAAAACUUUUAACAACGGAUCUCUUGGCUCUCGCAUCGAUGAAGAACGCAGCGAAAUGCGAUAAGUAAUGUGAAUUGCAGAAUUCAGUGAAUCGUCGAAUCUUUGAACGCAACUUGCGCUCUCUGGUAUUCCGGAGAGCAUGCCUGUUUGAGUGUCAUGAAAUCUCAACCAUUAGGGUUUCUUAAUGGCUUGGAUUUGGAGGUUGCCAUUCUAAAUGGCUCCUCUUAAAGGAGUUAGCAGGUUUUACUAUUGCUAUCUGGCGUAAUAAGUUUCGCUGGAAUGGUAUUGUGAAGCGUGCUUCUAAUCGUCUUCGGACAAUUACUUUGACUCUGGCCUCAAAUCAGGUAGGACUACCCGCUGAACUUAAGCAUA
rnacentral:rRNA from 1 species